rnacentral:rRNA from 1 species
AUUGAACGCUGGCGGCAUGCCUUACACAUGCAAGUCGAACGGCAGCACGGGGCAACCUGGUGGCGAGUGGCGAACGGGUGAGUAAUGCAUCGGAACGUACCUUUCAGUGGGGGAUAACGCAGCGAAGGUUACGCUAAUACCGCAUAUUCUGUGAGCAGGAAAGCAGGGGAUCGCAAGACCUUGCGCUGAUUGAGCGGCCGAUGUCAGAUUAGCUAGUUGGUGAGGUAAAGGCUCACCAAGGCGACGAUCUGUAGCGGGUCUGAGAGGAUGAUCCGCCACACUGGAACUGAGACACGGUCCAGACUCCUACGGGAGGCAGCAGCGGGGAAUUUUGGACAAUGGGGGCAACCCUGAUCCAGCCAUGCCGCGUGAGUGAAGAAGGCCUUCGGGUUGUAAAGCUCUUUCGGCCGGGAAGAAAUCGCACGGGCUAAUACCCUGUGUGGAUGACGGUACCGGAAUAAGAAGCACCGGCUAACUACGUGCCAGCCGCCGCGGUAAUAC